rnacentral:rRNA from 1 species
AUUGAACGCUGGCGGCAUGCUUUACACAUGCAAGUCGAACGGCAGCGCGGGGGCAACCCUGGCGGCGAGUGGCGAACGGGUGAGUAAUGCAUCGGAACGUAUCCUGUAAUGGGGGAUAACGUAGCGAAAGUUACGCUAAUACCGCAUACGCUCGAGAGAGGAAAGUGGGGGAUCGCAAGACCUCUUGCUUUAGGAGCGGCCGAUGUCGGAUUAGCUAGUUGGUGAGGUAAAGGCUCACCAAGGCGACGAUCCGUAGCGGGUCUGAGAGGAUGAUCCGCCACACUGGGACUGAGACACGGCCCAGACUCCUACGGGAGGCAGCAGUGGGGAAUUUUGGACAAUGGGCGCAAGCCUGAUCCAGCCAUGCCGCGUGAGUGAAGAAGGCCU